rnacentral:lncRNA from 1 species
UUUAAGUAUUAACGAAAAAAACGAGAGAUUGGGAGCAAAAAGGGAAAAAAAAGGGGAAACUUCUAAAAUAGAUUGCACAUAUCAUUCCACACAAUUAAAGGGUCCAGUCAGUUCUAAUGGGAAGAACAACUUUCCAUUUAACCGAAAAGACUAAAUUUGUGAUGCGUUUUUUGUGGUUCGCGAGAUAUUUGCGAAAGAAAAACACACCCAGAUUGACUUUUAGCUUGAUUGUUGACUAGCAGACGACGGUAAUCUGUGACAGCCAGUCUGCUUCUGGCGUUUGUUAUUGACUUCAUCUUGUGAAAUACUGAAUUGUGUUUCAAAUUUUAAUUUUUGCAGGAUUCUUAUAAGAAAAAAAAGACCAUGAUGUCUCCAGUGUCACAACUGAUGGUUCCUUUACCUAUCAAAUCUGUACCAGAUUGGCAGAUAGUUGACAUUUGUGGCUCAGAAAUUACUCGCUUUCCCUAUUUUGUUGGUGAACUGGUGAACUUGGUUCCUAGCAUGUGGAAAAAAUUCUUGUUGAAGUAGCAAAUGAUGACGUAACCAUUUUUAAACCAGUUGGAGUUGAUAAUCCUUUGGCCUAAAUACUUGUAGACAAUUGAUAUGGUGUCGUAAGACCUAGGAUGCUGAAGUUGGGAACUUGUCUCUCAAUUUGGGAACCCUGAACUUCUCAAACUUAGACGCUGUGAUCUUAUUGGAGAUGUUUACCACUUUUUCAUUCAUUUUCUAAGGAAAAAAGAAGUCACACAGUAUUUGUUGUAAAGUUCAUGUGAUUGGUGAAGACUAAUUGUUGCAAUGCUCUGGCUGUGUCUGCAUCUGAAGUGUAUUGCAAAUGCAAUCAGCGUGGUUGUCCAUGUGAUUCAGUAACUGGAGAAGAAAGAAAUUUUGCUAAUGAUAUUGAUAAAUCCCCUUCUUCCCAUGUAUCCUGCACUGUUGAAAUGAUCUCAGUGAACACUCCAUAAGAAAUAUGUAUAAUUUGCCAAUAUAAUUAAAUUAUUUAUU